rnacentral:rRNA from 1 species
CCUACGGGAGGCAGCAGUGAGGAAUAUUGGUCAAUGGUCGGGAGACUGAACCAGCCAAGCCGCGUGAGGGAUGAAGGUACAGAGUAUCGUAAACCUCUUUUGUCAGGGAACAAAGGCGUGGACGUGUCCCCGGAUGAGUGUACCUGAAGAAAAAGCAUCGGCUAACUCCGUGCCAGCAGCCGCGGUAAUACGGAGGAUGCGAGCGUUAUCCGGAUUUAUUGGGUUUAAAGGGUGCGAAGGGGGUCUGUUAAGUCAGCGGUAAAAGCCCGGGGCUCAACCCCGGCCCGCCGUUGAAACUGGCAGUCUCGAGUUGGAGAGAAGUAUGCGGAAUGCGCGGUGUAGCGGUGAAAUGCAUAGAUAUCGCGCAGAACUCCGAUUGCGAAGGCAGCAUGCCGGCUCCACACUGACGCUGAGGCACGAAAGCGUGGGUAUCGAACAGGAUUAGAUACCCUUGUAGUC